rnacentral:lncRNA from 1 species
UUUAUUUUUGAAAAGGAGAACUUAAAUUAAUUCGAUUGGAAUGAAACAGUAGUCCUUAACUAGGUUGAGAAAUCACUAGUCAAUCAGUCGGACUUAAAUUUACGCACUGCACUGUAAAGUUACCGAUAAUGCAUAUUGGAGUACAUUUAUUUACUUACAUAAUAGCGAAUGUAGAUACAAAAAUUUAAUUAAUUUUGGGUAGUUGUCCACCAAUUCCCUAUCGAAUAAUUCACACAUCAUCUUUCUCAAAAAAAAAAAAAAGUUCACUCAUCACACGUGUUGUUACCUUCCUCGCAUCAGAAACUAGUACUGUACUACAUUUCCGUGGUGGGUUGCAAGAAAAAUUCAAACUCUCAACCAG